UCCUACGGGGGGCAGCAGUGAGGAAUAUUGGUCAAUGUUCGGGAGACUGAACCAGCCAAGCCGCGUGAGGGAUGAAGGUACAGAGUAUCGUAAACCUCUUUUGUCAGGGAACAAAGGCGGGGACGUGUCCCCGGAUGAGUGUACCUGAAGAAAAAGCAUCGGCUAACUCCGUGCCAGCAGCCGCGGUAAUACGGAGGAUGCGAGCGUUAUCCGGAUUUAUUGGGUUUAAAGGGUGCGCAGGCGGUCUGUUAAGUCAGCGGUCAAAGCCCGGGGCUCAACCCCGGCCCGCCGUUGAAACUGGCAGU
rnacentral:rRNA from 1 species